GCCAUCAGGGGCGGUGGCCGCCGGGCUGGGGCCGGGGCGGGGGCUCGGGCUCGGGCAGGCGGGAGGCGGGCGGCGGGCUGGCAGGGGGGCUGGCAGUGCUGCACUCGCUGACCCAAACCUGGGAGUUACUUUACAAAUUACCAAAGCUUUUAAAACUUUAGAGCAAGAAUGGGGAGGGGGUGUCCGGCUAGGGGCUUGGUGGCUCUUACGGAAAUAUGAUGGAGGUGCCCUGUCGAUCACAGGUAUUCUGUACUGCCUGGGCAGGAUAAUAGCCAAGAGAGUCACUUUUGCAUUAACAAACACAGACAAAAAGUUGAUUGGGACAUUCGAGAUUGAACUGCAGUCUUGCCAUAGCUUACAGGUCUAUGCUUUAGGUUGGAAGGAACUGUUAUUUGUCAGUGAUCCAAGCGACAGUGCCUGACAAUUUCUUGUGUUUCUGUUGCAGAUGGUGGCUCCCUAGGUGUGGUGUGGCAACCAGAGCAUGAUCAUGGCAGCUGAGGUUUAUCGCCCCUCUGAAGGGAGCCUUCUACCUUCAUCAAUAGGCUUAGACUGUGCUCACCUGAAUGACUCUGAUAAGCUAAGUCUAUCCUACCCCUGGGCCAGCAAAAGCAGGAAAAGCCAGCUUUCUCAACUCUGCCGGCUUAGAGCAUCUCUAUCUGGAGAGAAAUGGAGCUCUUACUGUUUGUCUUCACUGGCAGCUCGUAACAUUUGUACCAGCAAAACUGGUAACUCAGGAGCUCAGUGGGCUUCUUCCUCUCUCUCCACUUCCAUUGGAAGCUCUUCUUCUUGCUCUUUUUUGCAUACCUUCACUGAGGGAUCCAGCCAGCACCUCCCAACUGCUGCACGCAACCCAAACAAAGCCAUCUUCACUGUGGAUGUCAACACAACAGAGAUCCUGGUGGCUAAUGACAAAGCCUGCAAGCUCCUUGGGUGCAGCAGUCAGGAACUCAUUGGUCAAAAGCUGUCCUGUUUGAUAUCCAAAUCCAGUCAAGAGGCAUGGGAAGCUGUGGGUGAGGAGUACCUAGAAACUGAUGAACGUUCAUCACUGGUUUCAGGAACUGUGGUGGAUGUCAUAGGCCAUCUCAAAGAGAAGAUCCCUGUCUCAGUCUGGCUGAGACAAAUAAGAAGCAAGGACAAGCAGUGUUGUGUGGUUGUGCUGGAACCAGUGGAAAGACUCUCAGCUUCUGUUUCCUUCACGGUUGACGGAGAGAUUACAUCAUGUGACCUCCAUUUUGCCCAUCUCCAUGGCUACCCAACAUUGGAAGAAGUAGUUGGACUCCACAUAAAGGACCUGAUUCCUUCUGUGCAGAUCCCUCCUCUAGACAAAAAAAUCCCAAAGAACCUCAGGAUCCAGCGAGCUGUAGGCCGAUCCAGAGAGGGUAACAUGUUUCCUCUCAGUUUAAAGCUGCAAGUAAGCCUUCUGGAAGAGGACCAAAUGACAAUGCAGAAAGAUGGUGUUCUGCAGGCAGAAAAAGGCAGCUCUUUCACAGGCUAUCAUUACUCUGCUACAGUCGUGGUUUUCUUCACCAUCAGUGGUCUUAUUACUGUCAAGUCAGAUGGAACCAUCUGUGGCAUCAAGGAUAGUUUUGCUUUAAUGCUUUUUGGCUAUGAGAAGAAAGAACUGUUGGGAAAGAACAUUACAUUCCUGAUCCCUGGUUUCUAUAACAACAUGGAGAGAAGCAGUGACUGUUCUUUGCCAUUACCUCCUCUUGACGGCUCCAUGGGGACAGAGGACAGCAGCUUCUUGGCUGCAUCUGUAGCGAGCCUUCUGUCAAGAGGCGAAGAGCAGAAACUGGAACGAAGACACAAAGAUGAAAAAUUAAUGCACGAUGAGACUAAACAAAAGAAUGUGACCAGUUUCUUUUCUACUCCCUCACCUCCUGCAGUGGUACCCAUUCUCUCUAAUAGGCUAGAAGACAAUCUAGAUACUGAAUCCUAUGGCCCAAUUAAGCUGCCUUCUGAUGUUACUUGUAACUCACCUGGAACACCAACAAAAGAUGAGCCAUGGUCUGGGACACCACCAGACUACAGACAAGACUUUCAAAGCCAUAUGGCUACAGGGCAGUUGUCAAAAUCAAACUUCAUGUGUGAUGAAAAACAUUCCAGCCUUGAGCACAUUGUAGUUGAAGGCUGCCUGCUAAAUGAUGCUUCAUCCUUCUUUGCAAAUGGAAGAAAUACUAUCCAUGAUGUUUGCUCAGGAAAUAAAACGGGUUGCAGUGCUUCUGCAGCAGUUGCCACAACCUCUGAAGAUGUUAAAGAAUCAGACACUGAGCUGAACUGCAUUUGCUCUGAUCUUGAGGUACUGGGUCUGAAUAUUGGUGUCAAAGGGCGCUCAGACAAUUGUUUAGGUAUUGCUGCAGCUCAUGUAGGAGCAUCCUCCUCUGAUGCAGUGGACUUGGGUGUGGGCAAUAUGCUAACUCAGGGAAACAGCGCCUUUUCAACUGGGCAAGAAAAGCAGCUGUUGAAUGGUGUUGCCAUAGAAGAUAGUUCUGAGUGGCUCGCCUCCCAAAGGCAUUUAGAAGACUCUGGAGAAUCCUCCAAAGCAUUUAUUGAGAAGCCUGAAACUCUUACAGAGACCAUGGGGGACAACAUCAACAAGACCCCACUGAAGAGCAAAGGUAGUCCUGAAAAAGACCGUGAGCUGCAUGGGCAGCAAAAUAUGGAGAUAAAGGCAACAUCAACCCCAGUGAAACAAGAAGGAAGGCUGAACUCAGCAGCUCCUUUGACCUUGGAGAUUCUGGAAGGCAGCUAUGCUGGGAAUUGCUGCCACAGAGAUGGGUCACAAUUAAGUAUACUCUUUGAAGUGAAACGUGUAGAACUGCAGGACCCUGCUGUGCUGUUCUGUGUCUGGGUGGUGAAAGACCUUCUGCAGAGCCAAAAGGAAGCUGGAGCAAAGAGUCAGCUUUUGCUCUCCAGUCUGGCAAGCUCUGCACAGUCUAUUGCUGAUCUUUCUACAAAUAGUCUUGGAGAAGCCAUCAGAUCAACUUCACUUUUUGAGAAUUCCCGAGGAGCUGAAGAGCUUGAGGGUCUAAGGGCAUGUGAAGGAGAAUAUGCAGAAAACUAUAACACUCUCAGUCUUAUUGGCAAAGGAUCUUUUGGCUUUGUCUGGACUGCCAGGGGCAAGAAAGAUCACCAGGAGGUCGUUGUAAAGUUCAUCUGGAAGGAGAGGGUGCUUGAGGACUGCUGGGUAGAUGAUCCUGAUCUGGGGAGAGUGACUCAAGAAAUUGCAAUCCUGUUGAAGCUGCAGCACCCCAAUAUCAUUAAGGUGCUGGAUGUGUUUGAAAAUGAACAGUUCUUCCAGCUGGUGAUGGAGAAGCAUGGAUCUGGUCUGGAUCUCUUUACAUUCAUUGAUAAUCAGCCCAACCUGGAUGAGCCAUUAGCCAGCUAUAUAUUCAGACAGCUUGUAUCAGCUGUUGGGUAUCUUCACUGUAGAAACAUCCUUCACAGAGAUAUCAAGGAUGAAAACAUUGUCAUUGCUGAAGAUUUCACAAUUAAAUUAGUGGAUUUUGGUUCAGCUGCCUACCUGGAACCCAGCAAAUUGUUUUAUACCUUCUGUGGGACAAUUGAAUACUGCUCACCAGAAGUGCUGUCUGGCAAACCGUAUGUCACCCUCUGAAAAGUCAUUUUUGUGUCCAUUGCACCAAAAAUUGUGGGUGCAGGGCUGGAAUAGAGAAGCCAAGCUGCUUUGCCUUUGGUGCUCUGCUAGAGUAUCUAACCACAGAAGACUGCAGUGAGAUUUAGGGCACUGCAGUGACAGAAAUGACUUGUAAAGGUUUGAAUGCAUAUAAAGUAGGGCACUGUGGUGACAGAAAUUAGUUCUAAAGGCUUGAAUACAUACAAAGUUUCUUCUGAUUAAGUCUGUUGACAGGCUUUCUGAUUCUGGUCAGAUGUUUUGCAAAGCUUUGUACUAAUGUCUGUCCUACUGCAGAGCCAAGUUCAAGAACAAGCCUAAGAGUUUAAUUAGCAGCCUGCUAGAAGAGUUUGGAUGAGUUGGGUUGUACUUGAAUGUGUCCUUUUCCUUAAUCUUUCAUAACACGUACAUCAGGUUGCUAACCUUCUUUUCAUACCUGCGUCUAUGCACUCGUGGGUCUCUACCAAAAGCUGCUCUUCUAGAGAGGUGGUAUAAGCAAGUAUUGCUGUGUAGCACCUGCCCCUUACCGUAUCUGUGUUUUAUGCUUCUCCCAUUCCCACCUCGUCUGCUCCCUUCUUUCCUACUUGCUUCCCUGUAUGAAUUUUUGCAUUUUGAUCAUCGUUCAUCUCCCCAUUGAUAUUUGUGCUGCUCUGGACUCAAGGAUUCUUCCCUUGCGUCCUGUCGUGCUCCUGUCUUGGAUGUGCUGCCCAAAUCUUAGCUGACUUUUCCCUGUUCUCUCCUUCUCCAAGUGCUCUUUCCCUGGAGGCUGGCAGUCUCAUACCCACUCCUGGAGGGAAGCCUUAUCAUCACAGGGUGAUAAACAUUAAUUGUACAUGCAAGUAUGUUAUCUUGCUCUCAGUUCACAGCUGUUCUCAUAGGUCCUUCAAGCAGCUUCUCUUAAUGGGGAGGGGGGAAGCAAUGCAAGGAGGAGAGGAAAUCCCUGCUGGGAAUGAGAUGGAAAAUGCAGUGCUGCCCUGGGAAUUCAGCCUGUUACUGUGUGAAAAAACUGUCCUUUUUUAUCAGAUAGAAUCUUGAUAGUUAAUGUUUCUUUCCAGAUAACACUUGCUUUGAAAAGAUUGGGAGGAGGUAAAUGAGAUUCCACUGAGGUGUCUGAUCUUCCAUUUAAAUAUUUACUUGAUAGUUUUGGCUUAUGGUGAAGAAGGAAGAAAAUUAAGUUCUCCUGUCACCAGCUUACCCAUGUGGAAGUCUAGGUGCAUAUUUUACAUACUCAUCAAUUGAAACUGGUUGGCCGUUCUUCUGGUUGUUUUUGUUUCAUGGAGAAGGAUAACAUGGAGAAGACUUCUCAAAAACAUGUACCGUGGCCCUGAGCUGGAGAUGUGGUCACUUGGUGUCACCCUUUAUACCCUAGUGUUUGGAGAGAAUCCCUUCUGUGAGCUGGAGGAGGCCAUGGCAGCUGUCCUGAAUCCUCCUCGGGCUGUCUCAAAAGGUCUCAUGAAUCUCAUGAUUGGGCUUUUGCAUCCUAUUCCAGAGCAGCGCACGACGCUGGUGAUGUUAGUAGAGGAUCAAUGGCUGAAGCAGCCUGUGAACCUGGGUGAUUAUACCUGGGAAGAGGUAUACCUCUCUGCUGAGACAGAAAGCAGCAGAUUCAGAAAUGGUUCUGGUGAGCAGGUGCAUGGAGACAAGCUCCCAGCUCCUCACGUGGAGAGUGAACCACGCUUGAAUGCUCCCGACUGUGAGUGUGCCCAUUCCCACCGGGAAGAAGCAGUGGCUGUGGAGUGCCAGGGCUUGGGCCUGGGACGUUGCUGCCAUUCUUCUCCACAGCACUAGUCCCUCCCUGUGGAACGAUGACUCCCUGACUCAAGAACCAACAGGAAGAACUGUAAGCCCUAGAUUGCUGCUACUUCUCUCACAUAGAAAGAUCUGGUGAUUGGUACUGAGCAGCCUUAAGCUGCUCCGCCUGCGCACAUUCCUCUAGAAAACCUUCUAGCCAAUAAGCAUUUAUUACAUUUCUUAUAUGGGAUGUGUUUUAAAGUUGUGAGACAGAGAUUUUAGUGUCUUGUUUAAAUUGUUCAUCACUCAGGCUAUAUUUUUAUUGGCUGGUUUUACUUUGUGUAUGUAGUUUCACUUGUUCGGGAAUAGAAUUGCAUGAUGGGGGGUGUCCCUUUCCCCUUUCACCCCUUUUUUGUCAGUCCUCUCUAUAUCCAGGAAAAUAGUCAAUCAUUUUGAUGAGACAAAGAUACUGGAAAUAAAAAAAUAGAUUAAAUGAAAGAGAACUUGAACCAAU